rnacentral:sRNA from 1 species
UAAUGAAAAUGAAAAAAGGAACUGCGUCAACAGUCCCUUUUGACAGCACCGCUAAAGACGGUGACAAGUUUAAUAGUUAGAUCAAA